rnacentral:rRNA from 1 species
ACGGAGGAUGCAAGCGUUAUCCGGAUUUAUUGGGUUUAAAGGGAGCGUAGACGGGAUGUUAAGUCAGCUGUGAAAGUUUGGGGCUCAACCUUAAAAUUGCAGUUGAAACUGGCAUUCUUGAGUGCAUAUGAGGUGGGCGGAAUUCGUGGUGUAGCGGUGAAAUGCUUAGAUAUCACGAAGAACUCCGAUUGCGAAGGCAGCUCACUGGCCUGCAACUGACGUUGAUGCUCGAAAGUGUGGGUAUCAAACAGG